AUUUUGAGAGAUCGUUUUUGUAAUUGUUCUAUACUUGGAUAUACAAUUAGAGCAGUUUGUAAACGUUUGUUACUACUUAAUCUUUGAUUUAUUAAGUGUAAGGUUACAGUUAAAGAAUAUGGGAGGUUACAGGUGGUGUUCUGCCGUAAAUUGCCGAAAUAAUUGUGGACAGAAAGCAGGAAAAAGUUUCUUUCUUUUUCCAAAAGAUCCAGAACGGUGAGUAGGCCUACAUUUCUAUAAGUGUGUUUUAUAAUAUAUAUCUAAACCAUUCGUUAUUACUUUAUCAAUCGUAUCUACUAUAUACAUAUAUUAGUUGAUAAAAAAUUCGGCUUAAUUUUUAGACUUACUUAUUAACUAUCGUCCAUAUCUGAACGAAAAAACGAGGAAAUUUUAAUUAAAAAAAUAUCUAUAUGAUGUUUUGGGAUUGUAAUAGUCGGGUACUAAUAGUCGCAUGUUUUUAACAAUUACAAAUAUAGUAUGAUUGCACAAAUAUAAGAAAUCUUAUUUUGAUUUUUGUAUAUUUAGUUAAAAAGGUAAUUACUUUAAUAAAUAACUGAAUUAAUAUAAGAUAUGUAAUUUUUCAUUUCAGAUGUAAAAAAUGGGUGAUUGCUUGUCGCAGAGCAGAUUUGGAUGGAAAAGAUGUUUCAUAUUUGAGUAGAAAUUGUAGGCUGUGUAGUGAUCGUUUCAAAGAUAUUAUGUUCCUAAAUGAAUUUGAAAAAUAGACUUCAUUCUCAUGCUGUUCCCUCAAUAUUCAAUGUUCCUAAUCCUCCUUCAUCUGUUCAGUCAAAAUGGAAACUUCCAAAGAGAUUCAGCACUGUUAAUGAUAAAAUUCAAACACAUUUGCAAAAUGAAUUUGAAUUGCCAUCAGAUAAUUCAUUUGCAAAAUGCAGUAAUACUGAACCUCUAUCAUCUCCAAUGUCAGUAUCAUCAGGAUUAUAUCAGCCAGCCACUUUGUUAGAUGAUAAAAACAAUGAUUUAAAAGUAGAUAAACUUCGUAAAAUUGCAAGAAAAUGGAAAUCUAAAGCAUUAAGACUAAAAAGGAAACUAGCAAAUAAUAAGCUCACC
rnacentral:lncRNA from 1 species